rfam:Sorghum bicolor cultivar BTx623 chromosome 8, whole genome shotgun sequence.
AUUCCAUGAUGGGGACAUUCUAGGAUGUAGUCUUGAAAGCGCUCCCAUGCUUCUGGAACAGAUUCAUCAUUUUGUUGCUGAAAACUCGUAAUCUUCCCACAGAGAGC